AAUCUCAAAGGAGUUGUCUUCUUCCUGUGGUUCCCAAUUAAAAUAGUCCUAUCACAGACCCGCGAUGAUGGCUUCGCUGUGGCUGCAAAAUUCACGUCCUUGCUAUUCAGUAGCAGAAGCAACUGCUCAAGAAUCAAGCUCGAGGCGGCGCCACUUUCAUGCCCGUCGGUCUCUCCAACCGCCACCACGCGGAGGAGUCAGUCUGUGCCACUGUGGCGCAAGACAUUCAUGGUAGGGAUCGACGAAACAAGAACUGUCAAUCCCAGGGGCGUCUUGGAGGAGCUAAACAUCACCUUCAGCGCCGGCGCUCUCUGGCCUCCUCGCCGGAGAUGAAUAGAUAUGCAAUCAGGAACGGCUGCUCGAGGGAAUCAUGAUUUGGUAAUUGGAAAAUAGAAUACAGUAGGCAGAUUGGGAACCAGGGAAGAAGACAACUGCUUUGAGAUUCGGUUUGCCACGCGUCAGGCGCGCGAGUUGGUCCAGCUAUCGGCCUGUACAACCUGGGUCGUAUAGGAUUAAUUUCCCUUAGCCCUGUGGUUCUCUCUAUCCAUUUCUGUUCCCCUCCCCGUCUCCAAAAUUCGAUCUCUCGCUAGGGUUCUUCGAGGCGAAAUCAGCGCACUGCCUAUGGAGAGUGACCGCGUGAGUGAGGGCGGGAUGCUCGACGGCGGUGAGCAACCUACCUGCGAAGGUGGGGUGCUCGGGAAUCCAGUUUGUGUGCUCUGUGCUUGCGUUGUCUUCGGCCAUGGCUGCUGGCUAGGAGGAGGCAUGCUGGCCAGAUCCGUCACUGCCCCGCGGUAUGCAGCCGCAUCCUCGACCUCCUGGAGUACGGCGUCCGUGGGGGGCCUCCUGGAGCACCGCGUGUUCGUGGCGCGCAACGGCUGCGGCGCCGGUGAGACGCCGACCACCUCCACUCGCCCAGGCCGCCGCGGCUGCUCGUGCCACGGAGGUCCAGCAGGACAGUAUCGACCCGGCAUCUAGGCGUCCCAAAGAGGUCCGCCAGGCCAACGCCGACCACCUCCGCAGCCCACCGGAGCUGCCGGUAUUCCUCUUCUCCUACUGCCGGUCGUGGUCAUGGCCGAGCCAGACCGCGCCAAAGCCAGGCUUCUCCUGCUGUUGGUCCUGGCCGUGGCAGAGGGGCCAUGCCCCAGUCAGGCUGCUCCUGCUGCUAGUCCUGGUCGUGGCCAUGUCAGGGCGGCGGCGCGCGGCCACCUGCAGGUUUACUACUAGCUAAUUUGGUCAAUGGUGUGCAGCUAGCUGAAUUUUUUGCGCGCACGCAAGCGAUAUGUAGUGCUGCUACCCGAAUCCCUGCCGAUAUGUGCUAGCUGGUUUCUUUUUGUCAAUUUACAUUGUCAAAAUUUUGUGUGCAACAUUUCAAUUUGCAACGUGCAUUUUUUUUUUUUUCAAAUUGCAAUGUCAAUGUGUUCAAUUUUUAGAUGCUUUUAGGCAUAAAGUGAAAAAUAAAAAGUAAUCUAGCUGAGGUAGAUUCAGAUAUUAUGCCCAGUUUGUUAGAUAAAGUUCGGACUAGGUUGUAGCUGGAAUGGGUAAAGUUGUAUGAUGUCCAUACUAAGUUUGUCUCUGGGAAUAUCCAUGGAUGUAGGAUGGUCUUUUUGCCUAUGCAUUUUAUGGAACUGAUAAGUUGCUCAUACCCUUAAUUAAGUUGGUUUACUCUGUAAGGUUGCGUAUUGUUCAUUGUUAAGUUGUCCACUAAUCAAUGUUAAGUUGCUGAUACUGUUAGAUAUUACAGUUACUUUUGACAAGCAACUUCAGUGUUGGACCAAACAAUUUCAUAACACUAGACACUUAUUUUUUACAAUAGUAUGAAAUUUCCCAAGAUAUAUUGAUGCUAAUUUUUGUAUGACUGGUAACACUGGUACUAAGUUAAGUCGCGAUGGAAACCCUUUCCCCACCGUAAUGGUUAUGUUGCAUAACUUGCACAACUUCAGAAUUAAGUUGAUUCACCCACAUAAAUAAGUUGCUUAUGCCACUUAAUUAAGUUGAUUAGACAUAUUAGUAUAAGUUGCAUACUGAUACUUAAGUUUGUUUUUUCACACAUCCAUGAAUGCAAUGGACUUGUUCUGCUAUAUCCUCUCGCUUUCCUCAAUUAAGUUGUCUUGUCAAUAUUCUAAAAUUGUUUCUACCAUUUAAUUAAGUUGAUCACGCAUCUUAGCCUAGGUUGCUUUACCUAUUCAUUCAAGUUACUCACCACAGGUUAGUAAGUUUGGUUUGAUCUGUAGGGCAAUGACUAAAGUGUAAUUUGCAUGUACCACUAGCCUAGCGGAUUAAGACUGCUUUACGCGACUAAGUCGUGUUUGUAUCCAGUAAAUUGUUUCUUCACACAUGUACUGAAUUGUCUACUCACUAUUGCUAAGUUGUAUAUAGAGUGAUGCUAAGUUGCAUAGCCCAUCUGUGAAUUCUUACCUCUACACCAUAGGGCAAAAACUUAUUUCGAGAAGUGGCAACAACUAUAGUGUGUACCAAAUGCAACUCGGUGGUUGCGCGUUUGCAACUAAGACACCACCAGCAACAAGUUGCAUCCAUUUACUAAUUGGGUUGUAGCUGAACAAGCAAAGUUGCAUGUUGAAGAUGAUAAGUUGUUUUUAUCCCAUGUACCAAGUUGUAUACCUACUAUUGCUAAGUUGCAGUGGCGUAUCCAGUUUGGGUACCAUGGGUUUCAUUGAAUUUCUACAUGCAUUUUGCCACAACUCUUAUAUAGUUGGGUGGUGUCUUUCCUGAAUUUUGCAUGUAUACCUAGCCACUAAGUUGCUUCAAGAGUGUCAUGUGCAUCUACCUUGUAAGAUCUUGGGUGGUGUUUUUUCGGCUCUAUCCGAGCAGCAUGUCCCGUAUCAUUCAGUUGCUAAUGUGAAGUUGUCUAUAGGUUGUUGCUAAGUUGAUCGCUGAAUGGUAAGUUGCUGAUCUGGUGAGAUAGCAGAGGCGUGCUAAGCAUCUUACACAUAAUGUGAAUUCAUAUGUUUUUUGUAUUUCUGAAGUCGAUUUUGCAUGUAGUACUUAGUUGCUUCACAUGUAGACCGAGUUGUUUUUUCAUUAUGCUAAUGUGUGCCCUCGAUGGACUCUAUGUUCAGUUUGAAGAGUCUCAAGGGAUGUCUUGCAUAUGAAGUUAGUGUCCCAUCAUGUUCAAGUUCCUGAUCCAUUUUUAUUAUGUUACUUACUAUUUUUUAUUAAGUUGUUCACAUUCAACCGUGAGGUUUGUGAUUGUGUUUGUCCAAUCAGCCAUCCACAGGUUGAAGUUGCUUAUAACAUUUAGUUAGGUUACUAAUCGUCUGUUCAUUAAGUUGAUUUUCCGUAUACCCUUUGUAUAUCUAGGGGGGCUUGGGUUUCUGUGUUUCACCUUGUUUAAUGUGAUUAAGUUGUUUUUUUUCAUCUAAUUUAGUUACUUACUUUCCCUUAUUAAGUUGUAUACUCAGAAUUGGUUUGUCUUCCUUUUUACCCUCUGACCAUGCAAUCAGCUGUAUGAUUAAUAAAUUAAGUUGCUUAGCUGGUAUUAGUUAGGUACUUGUUUUCUAUGCUUGUUUCGCUUAUUUACAUAUUCUAUGAUCCCAUACGUGCGGAUGCAACUUAGACAAUACUUGAGCCAAUUCAGCCAUCACGUGGAGCAACUUAGACAUGUAGUACAACAAAUCCCCAAAUAAAUUCAGCAUUUAGUCUUGGAACUCUGGCAACAACUUCCUCAACUGUCCAAACAUUUUCCAACAAUUCAAACAACAACUUAGAUGUUAGCAAAAGGCAGCUAAGAGAUCACUAGGAGCAACUCAGAUGUUAGGAGGAAUAACUAACAUAUGCUAAGUUGCUUCUUUGAUGAGUUGCAUUUUGUCAUGCACUAGUUUCCAAAUUACAGAGUUGCUUUUCAGGCGCAUUUGAUGAGUUGCAUUUUGUCAUGCACUAACUUGUAGUUUUCAAAUUACAUAGUUGCUUUUCAGGCGCAUUUGAUGAGUUUGUCAUGCACUAACUUGUAGUUUCCAAUUACAUAGUUGCUUUUCGGGCGCAUUUGAUGAGUUGCAGUUUGUCAUGCACUAAGUUGUAGUUCCCAAAUUACAUAGUUGCUUUUUGGGCGCAUUUGAUGGUUUGCAGUUUGUCAUGCACUAAGUUGUAGUUACCAUAUUACCUAGUUGCUUUUUGGGUUUAGGUAAGUUGCAAUUUCAGUUCCACUGUGUUGAUGUUGAGACUGUUGCAGGCUUAGGAUAUUGUUUCUAUGGUGAUUUGUGUGUUACUUGCACGUUCCUAGGGUUGUGGAUCUAAAUAUGUUGUAGGUUUUCAUAUCACCUAAUAUCUUUUCUGUUGCAGGUAAGCUGCAGCGUGCCAUGCACUAAGUUGUAGCUAUUAGAUUACUGAGUUUCUUUUCAGGUGCAGAUCAGUGGUCAUUGAAAAAAUUGAAGCACCAGUUUGUGAAAGUACAUACAAGCGGAACCGGAUAUGUGCAUAGUUGCUCAGUAGCUGUUAGUUUGCAGCUUGUCCAUUUUGAAACUGAUAUUGAAAUUAGCUGAUGUGUAUCAAUAUCAUCAUGAUCCUA